rfam:Corchorus olitorius cultivar O-4 contig20861, whole genome shotgun sequence.
UGCUAUGUGCGUCCAGCGGUUAGGAUGCCAGGCUUUCACCCUGGAGACCCGGGUUCGAUUCCCGGCAACGGAA